CAGUAGCCGCGGGAAUACGUAGGGUGCAAGCGUUAAUCGGAAUUACUGGGCGUAAAGCGUGCGCAGGCGGUUAUAUAAGACAGAGGUGAAAUCCCCGGGCUCAACCUGGGAACUGCCUUUGUGACUGCAAGGCUAGAGUACGGCAGAGGGGGAUGGAAUUCCGCGUGUAGCAGUGAAAUGCGUAGAUAUGCGGAGGAACACCGAUGGCGAAGGCAAUCCCCUGGGCCUGUACUGACGCUCAUGCACGAAAGCGUGGGGAGCAAACAGGAUUAGAUACCCCUGUAGUCCCUGUCUCUUAUAC
rnacentral:rRNA from 1 species